rnacentral:rRNA from 1 species
ACUCCUACGGGAGGCAGCAGUGGGGAAUAUUGCACAAUGGGGGAAACCCUGAUGCAGCCAUGCCGCGUGUGUGAAGAAGGCCUUCGGGUUGUAAAGCACUUUCAGUAGGGAGGAAGGUAGUGUAGUUAACACCUGCAUUAUUUGACGUUACCUACAGAAGAAGCACCGGCUAACUCCGUGCCAGCAGCCGCGGUAAUACGGAGGGUGCGAGCGUUAAUCGGAAUUACUGGGCGUAAAGCGCAUGCAGGCGGCCUGUUAAGUCAGAUGUGAAAGCCCGGGGGCUUAAACCUCGGAAUUGCAUUUGAAACUGGCAGGCUAGAGUCUUGUAGAGGGGGGUAGAAUUUCAGGUGUAGCGGUGAAAUGCGUAGAGAUCUGAAGGAAUACCAGUGGCGAAGGCGGCCCCCUGGACAAAGACUGACGCUCAGAUGCGAAA